UACGUAGGGGGCAAGCGUUGUUCGGAAUUACUGGGCGUAAAGGGCGCGUAGGCGGCACGGCAAGUCAGGAGUGAAAGGCCUGGGCUCAACCGAGGAACUGCUUUUGAGACUGCCGAGCUAGAGUGCAGAAGGGGCAACUGGAAUUCCCAGUGUAGCGGUGAAAUGCGUAGAUAUUGGGAAGAACACCUGAGGCGAAGGCGGGUUGCUGGGCUGACACUGACGCUGAGGCGCGAAAGCCAGGGAGCAAACGGG
rnacentral:rRNA from 1 species